UUGACCUCUCGUCCCGCACAGCCAAAACGAAAAAAAAUCCCCCUGAUUGAUUCCUAGCCUUGCGCCGCCUCUCUCCGGCCCUCCUCUCUCCACCGUCAGGCGCGCCGCCUCUCCCCGGCCCCCCCUCUCCGCCGUCAGGCUCGCCGCAUCGCCGAUGCCUCCUUCUCCGUUUCCCAAGUUUACUGGCCCAUCCCCAUCCGCUCCGCCUCCAUCUGCCAUGGUUUGCUGGAAACUACCGGUCAGCUCAGCUAUGGCAACUGCCGAUGCCGAUCGUGGAGCAUGUCGAUCGUGCUGCUUGUGUUGGUUACUUCCUCCACCAAUACAAAAGUCGGCAUCAGGAGCUCGCCGCGCCCGGGCUUCACGGUGGUGACGAUGCUGGCGUCUACGUGUUCCUGUAUAACACGCCCGAUGCAUACAAGUCCAACUUCAUGCUGGUCACCCUAAGAGUGUUCUGUCCGGAGUCCAUCGAGGCACAUUUUGCUGCUAUUUAGUAGAGUCUUCAUCUAAUUCUUCUGGUUUCUUGCGCCGUACAGAAAUCGAAGCUAUCGAGCCUGGAAAGCCGGAAACGAGAGCCAACACCAACUGCGUCCAGAAGGUUGCGAAGGAGGUGGAUGAGUUCUUGGUGGAGUGUAAUCUGAGUAAUUCACCCCUCUUUAUUUGAACUCGGAGCUACCGGGCUUGGAGAAAUUUGGUGCGGUGAGCCAAGACCACCUGCAUCUCCGUCAACCUGUCCAGUGGCAAAGUCACUGCAAACCUCAUCUGGAAGGUGAUCUUUCAACCUGGAUCAUCACCUGGAAAAUAAAGAGAACCAAGGUUAUUAGUAGAAAAUAGAGUUGCAGCCAACGGUUUGAAGUGAGUGCAUCGGAAUGAUAUCCUUCUUAGCAUCGGCAGACACGUGUACGUCGAGGGCUGAAAGAUAUGCUGGAACCGUGGCCUUCAUGGCUACUCUUGGGCAUCCCUACGAGCCGGAUUCCCCAUCCAUGAAACAGACACUUCAUGCUUUGAUGAUUGAUGAUGACCGACUUCAUGGGGGAAAUAUCGCGUAUGCGGCUGGAGUAUGCUUGCUGCGCUGCUACUAUCCACCAUGAAGAAGAGAAGAAUAUGAUGGAACUGUUAACCACCACUUCGCAUGAUCCCAACCGAGGAGAAUGAGCGCUCAAUGGUGUGACAAUACACGCUGGAGAAGUUAUAGUGGUAGUGAGAAGUGUUGGGGCGAAAUGAUAAUCUAUGUCUUGCGAGCUGAUCAUCUAUCUGUUGUAAGCUCAGUGCUCAAAUCAGCAACUGUUUUUAGUCAUCAUGUAUUGAUGUCUUAUCACGUUUCCUACCUAUGGUUGGAGCAUGAGAAUCAGAAAUAUUUUUUUAUUUCAUCAACUCGGAGAAUUGGUGACAUUCUACCAAACUUUACAUGCAAAACAUGGUAUGAGUAAUGUGCCCAUUUUUUC